rnacentral:rRNA from 1 species
UACGUAGGGACCGAGCGUUGUCCGGAAUCAUUGGGCGUAAAGAGCGUGUAGGCGGCUUGGUAAGUCCGCUGUGAAAGUCCAGGGCUCAACCCUGGAAUGCCGGUGGAAACUGUCAAGCUUGAGUCCGGAAGAGGCGAGUGGAAUUCCUGGUGUAGCGGUGAAAUGCGCAGAUAUCAGGAGGAACACCAAUGGCGAAGGCAGCUCGCUGGGACGGUACUGACGCUGAGACGCGAAAGCGUGGGGAGCAAACAGG